rnacentral:rRNA from 1 species
CAGUAGCCGCGGUAAUACGGAGGGGGCUAGCGUUGUUCGGAAUUACUGGGCGUAAAGCGCACGUAGGCGGCUUUUUAAGUUAGAGGUGAAAGCCUGGAGCUCAACUCCAGAAUUGCCUUUAAGACUGGAUCGCUUGAACGUCGGAGAGGUGAGUGGAAUUCCGAGUGUAGAGGUGAAAUUCGUAGAUAUUCGGAAGAACACCAGUGGCGAAGGCGGCUCACUGGACGACUGUUGACGCUGAGGUGCGAAAGCGUGGGGAGCAAACAGGAUUAGAUACCCCCGUAGUCCCUGUCUCUUAUAA